CCCUUAGAUGUUCUGGGCUGCACGCGCGCUACACUGAUGCAUCCAGCGUGUUGUAACCUUGCUUGGUAAAGUUUGGUAAUCUGAGGCUAAUGUGCAUCGUGAUGGGAAUAGAGUUUUGCAACUAUUUGUCUUGAGCGAGUCAUCAGCUUGUGCUGAUUACGUCCCUGCCCUUUGUACACACCGCCCGUCGCUCCUACCGAUUGGGUGCUCCGGUGAAUGUUUGGACUGCUGUCAGUCUUUUCGGCUGUCGGCGAGAAGCUCUGUGAACCUUAGCACCUAGAGGAAGGAGAAGUCGUAACA
rnacentral:rRNA from 1 species